UUUACAUUAAUCACUUUAUUUAAAUCUCCUACAGUGCAAAAAGCAAGUAUGAUUCUCAUUUCACAGAUGAGACGACACUGAGAAGUUAGUAACUUGCCCAGACAGCUGGAAAGAGGUAGGGUCAGAUUCAAACCUGUAAAUUUUAUGUCCUGCAUCCUAACACUAUAAAGCAAGAGGAUCUCGAUCUCUCUCUCCCCCUCCCUCCCUCUCUCUCUGUCUGUCUGUCUGUCUGUCUUUUAAAUUGAGACAGGGACUUGCUCUGUCACCCACGGUGGAGUACAGUGGUGCAAGGCUCACUGCAGCCUCAAAUUCCAGGGCUCAAGCAAUCCUACCAUUUCUGCCCGUCAAGUGGCUGGGACCAAAGGAGCAUGCUACCAUGCCCACAUAAUUUUUAAAAAUUUUUUUGUAGAGAUGGGGUCUCACUACGUUACUCAGGCUGAUCUCAAACUCCUGGGCUCAAGCAAUCUUCUCAUCUCAGCCUCCUAAAGUGUUGGGAUUGCAGACCUGAGCCACUGCACCUCCCAAAUGAUCUUUCUCAUCAACCCCCGUGACUUAUUUCAAUAGUAUUAUUCUCAUUGUCUGAUUAAAAUCUUUUGUUUUUAUUUUUCCCUCUCUUUAAGUAACUUAAAACAUUUUUCUGUUGACAUAGCAUGGAUGCAGUACGAAGCAGAAUACAAAUUUGCAUCAUUUAAAAAAUAAUUCACGGGUCUUCUAAAGAAUGUUGGGUCUUUGGGAAACUGCCUUGCACUAUGUCCCCAGGCAGCUGGAGGAGAAGUGCCAUUCACUCUCCUUUGGCCUCGGUUGUCUUCAGAGGAAGCUUGAGGAUUCCCAUGCUGCGGUGUUUCCUACAGUCCUGUGCAUGUAGUGCUGUAGGCAUUAUGGUCUAUCAGCUAACAUAGGAGGACAGACUCUAUCAAGGUCGGUGCUUCUGCUUUGCUCUCAACUGUGUUCCCAGCGUCUAGAACAGAACAAUGUAAUGUUUAAGGAGGUCCUUGAAGGAAAAAUUAUUUUGAGACAUGAGAACAUGAUCUGGGAGAAGGAAUAACAUUCCAAUAUGGAGGAGCAUCAUAAGCAAACCCAUCAAGGCUGAAAAUUUUGGUACAUAUGUGAGGCAAAGGAAGAAGUUAUUUGGACUGUAGCCUUUAAAUGGAUUCCUAAAUAAAUUUGGAAAAGUAUGUUGGUAUAUAUUAUAGCAUAUUAGGAGGAAAGUUUUGGUUUCAUAGUCAAAAGAAAAUGACUGCAGUUGAGGAAAAUUGGUCAAGAAUAAUACGUAAGGUGCUUGUAUGUGGGAAAGACAGGAGGCAGAGUGACCAGAGAAGGGAGUAUUCCUAUCCCUAAGACAAAAGAGUUUGAACUAGGAUUUAAGCAGUGACGAUAGAAAACAAAGGAAAUAGAAGUAAAAUCAGUGAGUCUUAGAAACUGCUAACUUCUGUAGGGUGGGCUAAAGGAAAAGAUGCAGUGAUCCUGAGGGCUUAAGGCUGGGAAAUGGAGUGUUGGCAAGGACACUUAAAGAGCGGCCAUUUGGACAGGCGAGUGAAGAGUUGUUUUUUUACAGCCUGGGUUUGGGCAUCAAGCAUUCAUCUAGACAUACUUAAUUGGUAGUAAGCUUCUGAGUCUGGUAACAUAAAGCAAUGGUUAAAGCUGAAGGGUCUUGAAGUCUGUAGGCAGUAAGAGCUGAAUUAAGGAUGAAAGUGAUUCUCAAGGGAAUGUGGAGAAGAAAAGCUAGAGACAAUCCACAAGAAGCAACCACAUAUAUGAAGCAAUGGAGGAAGAGAAGACAAAGAAAGUAGUCAGAUUAUUUAGAGACAGAGAAUACAGCCAUUAGUUUUGUAAGUAACAAUCGUCUGAUUUCCACCUAUGAGACAUGUAGGAAUCCUGUACCAAUGGGGAUUGGUGUGUGGAGCCAGAAUGAACAAUUCAAAACAAAUCCUAGAAGGCCAAUCUAGUUAGUCUUCUAUCCAAUCUGAUGGGGUGAAACAGAAAAUUAUAAUAGAAGGUAAGAGAAAAUUGAAACCAAUGACAUCCAGUGAAUACAGGAGGGCUCAGAGCCAGGUGAUUAGUCUAGAAGCAGAGGUUUGUU
rnacentral:lncRNA from 10 species